rnacentral:rRNA from 1 species
GAUGAACGCUGGCGGCGUGCUUAACACAUGCAAGUCGAACGGAAAGGCCCAAGCUUGCUUGGGUGCUCGAGUGGCGAACGGGUGAGUAACACGUGGGUGAUCUGCCCUGCACUUUGGGAUAAGCCUGGGAAACUGGGUCUAAUACCGGAUAGGACCAUCGUUUAGUGUCGGUGGUGGAAAGUUUUUCGGUGUGGGAUGAGCUCGCGGCCUAUCAGCUUGUUGGUGGGGUAAUGGCCUACCAAGGCGUCGACGGGUAGCCGGCCUGAGAGGGUGUACGGCCACAUUGGGACUGAGAUACGGCCCAGACUCCUACGGGAGGCAGCAGUGGGGAAUAUUGCACAAUGGGCGCAAGCCUGAUGCAGCGACGCCGCGUGGGGGAUGACGGCCUUCGGGUUGUAAACUCCUUUCGCCAAGGACGAAGCGUUUUGUGACGGUACUUGGUGAAGAAGCACCGGCUAACUACGUG